CCGCCUGGGGAGUACGGCCGCAAGGUUAAAACUCAAAUGAAUUGACGGGGGCCCGCACAAGCGGUGGAGCAUGUGGUUUAAUUCGAUGCAACGCGAAGAACCUUACCUGGUCUUGACAUCCACGGAAGUUUUCAGAGAUGAGAAUGUGCCUUCGGGAACCGUGAGACAGGUGCUGCAUGGCUGUCGUCAGCUCGUGUUGUGAAAUGUUGGGUUAAGUCCCGCAACGAGCGCAACCCUUAUCCUUUGUUGCCAGCGAUUAGGUCGGGAACUCAAAGGAGACUGCCAGUGAUAAACUGGAGGAAGGUGGGGAUGACGUCAAGUCAUCAUGGCCCUUACGACCAGGGCUACACACGUGCUACAAUGGCGCAUACAAAGAGAAGCGACCUCGCGAGAGCAAGCGGACCUCAUAAAGUGCGUCGUAGUCCGGAUUGGAGUCUGCAACUCGACUCCAUGAAGUCGGAAUCGCUAGUAAUCGUGGAUCAGAAUGCCACGGUGAAUACGUUCCCGGGCCUUGUACACACCGCCCGUCACACCAUGGGAGUGGGUUGCAAAAGAAGUAGGUAGCUUAACCUUCGGGAGGGCGCUUACCACUUUGUGAUUCAUGACUGGGGUGAAGUCGUAACAAGGUAACCGUAGGGGAACCUGCGGUUGGAUCACCUCCUUACCUUAAAGAAGC
rnacentral:rRNA from 1 species